rnacentral:rRNA from 1 species
AUUGAACGCUGGCGGAAUGCUUUACACAUGCAAGUCGAACGGCAGCACGGGUGCUUGCACCUGGUGGCGAGUGGCGAACGGGUGAGUAAUACAUCGGAACGUACCCAGUUGUGGGGGAUAACUAACCGAAAGGUUAGCUUAUACCGCAUACGACCUGAGGGUGAAAGCGGGGGACCGUAAGGCCUCGCGCAAUUGGAGCGGCCGAUGUCUGAUUAGCUAGUUGGUAGGGUAAAGGCCUACCAAGGCGACGAUCAGUAGCUGGUUUGAAAGGAUGAGCAGCGACACUGGAACUGAGACACGGUCCAGACUCCUACGGGAGGCAGCGGGGGGGAAUUUUGGACAAGGGGCGAAAGCCUGAUCCAGCCAUUCCGCGUGAGUGAAGAAGGCCUUCGGGUUGUAAAGCUCUUUCGGCAGGGAAGAAACGGCCUAGGUUAAUACCUUGGGCUAAUGACGGUACCUGAAGAAGAAGCACCGGCUAACUACGUGCCAGCCGCCGCCGUAA